rnacentral:rRNA from 1 species
UACAGAGGUCUCAAGCGUUGUCCGGAUUUAUUGGGCGUAAAGAGCUCGUAGGUGGUUUGGUAAGUCGGAUGUGAAAUCUCCAGGCUCAACCUGGAGGGGUCAUUCGAUACUGCCAUGACUAGAGGUCGGUAGGGGAGUGUGGAAUUCCUGGUGGAGCGGUGAAAUGCGCAGAUAUCAGGAGGAACACCCGUAGCGAAGGCGGCACUCUGGGCCGAUUCUGACACUGAGGAGCGAAAGCGUGGGGAGCGAACAGG